GACGAACGCUGGCGGCGUGCUUAACACAUGCAAGUCGAACGAAGUGGCGAACGGGUGAGUAACGAGUAAUCAACCUGCCCUUCAGAGGGGGACAAAAGUUGGAAACGACUGCUAAUACCGCAUAAGGAAGGAGGGGAUAGCGUCUGAUUAGCUAGUGGGAGGGGUAACGGCCAACAAAGGCGAUGAACAGUAGCCGUGCUGAGAGGAUGAACGGCCACAUUGUGACUGAGACACGGCCCAGACUCCUACGGGAGGCAGCAGUGGGGAAUCUUCCGCAAUGGACGAAAGUCUGACGGAGCAACGCCGCGUGAGUGAUGACGGCCUUCGGGUUGUAAAGCUCUGUUAAUCGGGACGCGGUACCGGAAUAGAAAGCCACGGCUAACUACGUGCCAGCAGCCGCGGUAAUUC
rnacentral:rRNA from 1 species